UGGGGAGUACGGCCGCAAGGUUAAAACUCAAAUGAAUUGACGGGGGCCCGCACAAGCGGUGGAGCAUGUGGUUUAAUUCGAUGCAACGCGAAGAACCUUACCUGGCCUUGACAUCCAGAGAACUUAGCAGAGAUGCUUCGGUGCCUUCGGGAACUCUGAGACAGGUGCUGCAUGGCUGUCGUCAGCUCGUGUUGUGAAAUGUUGGGUUAAGUCCCGCAACGAGCGCAACCCUUAUCCUUUGUUGCCAGCGGGUGAUGCCGGGAACUCAAAGGAGACUGCCGGUGAUAAACCGGAGGAAGGUGGGGAUGACGUCAAGUCAUCAUGGCCCUUACGGCCAGGACUACACACGUGCUACAAUGGCGCAUACAAAGAGAAGCGACCUCGCGAGAGCAAGCGGACCUCAUAAAGUGCGUCGUAGUCCGGAUCGGAGUCUGCAACUCGACUCCGUGAAGUCGGAAUCGCUAGUAAUCGUAGAUCAGAAUGCUACGGUGAAUACGUUCCCGGGCCUUGUACACACCGCCCGUCACACCAUGGGAGUGGGUUGCAAAAGAAGUAGGUAGCUUAACCUCCGGGAGGGCGCUUACCACUUUGUGAUUUAUGACUGGGGUGAAGUCGUAACAAGGUAACCGUAGGGGAACCUGCGGCUGGAUCAC
rnacentral:rRNA from 1 species